CAGAAGACUUCACAGAGAAAACAUCCCUGACAGCCGGAUCAGCGGAAGAAAGGCGUUUAUGACUUGAGAACAGAAGAGAGGCGCGUAGACUUUGAGAGAGUCAAAUUUCUGGCUUGAUGAAAAUAUACAAGUCUCUGCCAUGCAUCUCAACUCAUGCUCAGUGGUAGCAUUUUCAUUUGUGUGUCAGAAAAUGAUUUACGGUUCUUCUCCAGGGAUGAGCAGAAUCUUGGAUGACACAUCGCUGCAAGAAUGAAAAGGUGUUUCAGUGCUGGAACAUGUUGUCUUUCAAACAGGAUGUUGAACCAACUUCUGAAGUGAAUAUGAAUAUUUGGGGUCAGGGGAGCUCAUGUGCUGGACAACACUUAGCAUUAACAAACAAAAAAAAAAAUUGUGAUUACUCUUAUUGCUGUUUGUAGGACCCCAGUAAAUAAUUUGAAUCCUGA